AGUUGUGAAUGGAGGUGUCCAGCUCUUCUCUUCCUCCUCCCCUUUCUCAGUUGCCCGGUCUCGUUCUCCAUCAGAGUCCAGCCCCCUCUGCCUCCUAGGCUGGCGGUGUCUCUCCCCUUCCAGACAGGAGGCACAGGUUUCUCUGGCGGUGGAAGGGACUCGUUCCGGAGUGGAGAUUCUGAAAAGCACAGGGCGGAAUAAUAGGCAGCAGGGGGAGAAGGUUUCUGGAGCCAAGAGGAAUUAAUUUGUGACGGCUAUGGCUGGGUUCUCAGCCCUCGGAUUACUUCUUCUUUCUCAGCUUUUGGCCUCCUCCUCAGCUCAGAGGCCAGGACCACGGGGCCCUCCUGGACCACGAGGACCCCCGGGAACAUCUGGCAAAGAUGGCAUAGAUGGAGAACCUGGUCCUCCCGGUUUGCCUGGUCCAUCAG